rnacentral:rRNA from 1 species
CAGUAGCCGCGGGAAAACGGAGGGUGCAAGCGUUAAUCGGAAUUACUGGGCGUAAAGCGCACGCAGGCGGUCUGACAAGUCAGAUGUGAAAUCCCCGGGCUUAACCUGGGAACUGCAUUUGAAACUGUCAGGCUGGAGUCUUGUAGAGGGGGGUGGAAUUCCAGGUGUAGCGGUGAAAUGCGUAGAGAUCUGGAGGAAUACCGGUGGCGAAGGCGGCCCCCUGGACAAAGACUGACGCUCAGGUGCGAAAGCGUGGGGAGCAAACAGGAUUAGAUACCCCGGUAGUCCCUGUCUCUUAUAC